rnacentral:rRNA from 1 species
AUUGAACGCUGGCGGCAUGCCUAACACAUGCAAGUCGAACGAGACCUUCGGGUCUAGUGGCGCACGGGUGCGUAACGCGUGGGAAUCUGCCCUUGGGUUCGGAAUAACAGUUAGAAAUGACUGCUAAUACCGGAUAAUGUCUUCGGACCAAAGAUUUAUCGCCCAGGGAUGAGCCCGCGUAGGAUUAGCUAGUUGGUGAGGUAAAGGCUCACCAAGGCGACGAUCCUUAGCUGGUCUGAGAGGAUGAUCAGCCACACUGGGACUGAGACACGGCCCAGACUCCUACGGGAGGCAGCAGUGGGGAGUAUUGGACAAUGGGGGGGCAACCCUGAUCCAGCAAUGCCGCGUGGGUGAUGAAGGCCUCGGUUGUAAAGCCUUCGGCGGGGACGGAUGAUGACGGUACCGCAGAGAAGCCCGGCUAACUCGUGCCAGCAGCCGCGGU